CUGAAUUGUGAGGUGCUUAAAGAGGAGACAGGUUGUGCUACAGAUAGACUGCAGUCAGUCACAAGAUGUGUCUGGAAUAUGGGUUUUUUUGUGCCACGGACCUCUUUGGCAGUCUGCUGGAGCCUGUGAAACCUUUCUCAGAAGAAAGCUGAUAAGUGCUGAAAAUCAAAUACGUGUGAUUUAAAGAAAAAGCACUAAACUAUGUGCCUCCUCGGUUGCAAGAAUUGAAGAAAGCUCUACUUCCCAGAUGCAAGACCAUGCCGCGAGGCUUAUCCAGUACUCCAGUUUCAGACAUGAGAGCAAAUCUACCCAGGACUAGAAGCCAUCAUCCUGAGGUCACAUCUCUGCCUCCUCACCCUCUCUGAUGUGAAAUUAAACUUAACUAUUGUCCAGAUCCCAGUUCAAGUUUCUUUUAUCGCAGAACCUUAGUUUUCUAUCUCCUCGGGGGAGAUGAUAAUACUUACAAGGAGACAGUGGGAAUUGUUAUCUGAGGAUGUUUGUAGCAUUACCAAGGCAGAAUCCAGCUGAGAAUGGACACUCAGCACAGAGCUUUUUCUUCCUGAGUCAAAGGCUGUCUCUGACGCCAGGGUCUCAGAUGUUCACACUGUGGGUGGUGGUGGCCUUUUCAUGUGGUUAUUCUUC
rnacentral:lncRNA from 1 species